CGGGAGGGGCCGCUCGCCCCGUCGCCGCGGAGAUGUCUGUGACGUCACACAGGUCCGGCCGCAGCCCCCCGCCCCUUCGGGGCUCGGCGGUGACCGCGCCGGGAACGAGAUGGACAAGCCAUUCAGAAGAACUUGGUGAUCUGAUGGAUUCUGAUACCAGCCCAGGUGCUUUGGAGAGGUUGACUCGCAGAUAAACAAGGGCCUGGCGGUGCCUUCCCGCAAGGACUCUUGAAAGCCAGUGACAUGAGACUCCGCGGAGAGCGACCGCCAUCACAGCCAAGGCACACAGUCCCACAGCUCCGGAAGGUUCCCUCCUGCCCUUUUGUGGCCAAGCCCUCACCCGCCCCCAGCAACCAGUGACCUGUGCUUUGUCCCUGUGAACUUGAUGUUUUGUAGCGAAGUGAAAAGCCCACCCUGAGCAGCCCCGGCCAUGGCUGGUCUGAGGUCCGGCCAGCCCGCCUGCAUCAGGGCGGCAUUUGCUAGCACCAGGGCCGGCUUCCAGAAGAGGUGGAGGAACACACCCCAUCGCUUCAAGGCCAAUCACAAAAAGAAUCACAUGGACUUAAUUGAAGGUAUCUGGAGAGAGUUUUUAGAUCCUCACGACGGCCAGUCUUCGGAAGAUACCCCCAGCCAUUCUGUCUACGGUCUCAGCACCUGUUGUCCGGGCGACGUGACCUGUACUGUGCCUUCACACGCACCGAAGUCCAGGAGGCCAGGAGAGGUCCGCGUAGAAGAUCCUCUCUCCUCAAAACUCCCAGACCGCCUCCUCAAAGCUGCCAGCUGGGGCCCUGCGUCCCCGGAGGCCGACGACGUGGACAUGUGGCCUGUCGAGGCCAGCGGCCCUGAGGCGCCAGGGUGGCCAGCCGGGCCGUCCGGAGCCCCAGAGGACCGGAGAAUGACGGAGGAGGGGUGGCCCAGGGCAGCCGGUCCCCUCCUCCCCGCCGCGGAGCCCUCUGAGCCCGGCAGACACACGCAGGGCAGGACCGGAGGGUCCCGGCCGCCUCCCAGACGUGGGAGUGAGAAGGACAAGGGGCCCAAGCUCAUCCUCUUCAAGAGGAAACUGGAACUCUUACUUGCAGAGCCCGAGAAAAGGAAGAGGAAGAGGCAGUAUGUGGCCUAGACCGAGGCAUGAACUGAGCACAAGCCUGGCGCCAGUGCCGGGUGGCCGCUGCCCACACGCCCCGGGACCCCCAGGACCGUGCUGUUCCCAAGUGCCAAUAAAGGGAAGCCCGAGGAGAA